rnacentral:rRNA from 1 species
AGAGUUUGAUCCUGCUCAGGACGAACGCUGCGGCGUGCCUAACACAUGCAAGUCGAACGGGUGAGAGGAGCUUGCUCCUCGAUCUAGUGGCGAACGGGUGAGUAACGCGUGAGAAACCUGCCUUUCAGUGGGGGACAACAGUUGGAAACGACUGCUAAUACCGCAUAAUGUACACGGACCGCAUGAUCUGUGUACCAAAGCUUUAUGUGCUGAAAGAUGGUCUCGCGUCUGAUUAGCUAGUUGGUGAGGUAACGGCUCACCAAGGCGACGAUCAGUAGCCGGUCUGAGAGGAUGAACGGCCACAUUGGGACUGAGAUACGGCCCAGACUCCUACGGGAGGCAGCAGUGGGGAAUAUUGGGCAAUGGGGGAAACCCUGACCCAGCAACGCCGCGUGAAGGAAGAAGGCCUUCGGGUUGUAAACUUCUUUUAGCAGGGACGAAGAACGUGACGGUACCUGCAGAAAAAGCAACGGCUAACUACGUGCCAGCAGCCGCGGUAAUACGUAGGUUGCAAGCGUUGUCCGGAUUUACUGGGUGUAAAGGGCGUGUAGGCGGAGAUGCAAGUUGGGAGUGAAAUCCCGGGGCUCAACCCCGGAACUGCUUUCAAAACUGCAUCCCUUGAGUAUCGGAGAGGCAAGCGGAAUUCCUAGUGUAGCGGUGAAAUGCGUAGAUAUUAGGAGGAACACCAGUGGCGAAGGCGGCUUACUGGACUGUAACUGACGUUGAGGCUCGAAAGYKUKKGGAGCAAACAGGAUUAGAUACCCUGGUAGUCCACGCCSUUACCGUUUAAUACUAGCUGU